AUUGAACGCUGGCGGCAUGCCUUACACAUGCAAGUCGAACGGUAACAGGUCUUCGGAUGCUGACGAGUGGCGAACGGGUGAGUAAUACAUCGGAACGUGCCCGAGAGUGGGGGAUAACGAAGCGAAAGCUUUGCUAAUACCGCAUACGAUCUCAGGAUGAAAGCAGGGGACCGCAAGGCCUUGCGCUCACGGAGCGGCCGAUGGCAGAUUAGGUAGUUGGUGGGAUAAAAGCUUACCAAGCCGACGAUCUGUAGCUGGUCUGAGAGGACGACCAGCCACACUGGGACUGAGACACGGCCCAGACUCCUACGGGAGGCAGCAGUGGGGAAUUUUGGACAAUGGGCGCAAGCCUGAUCCAGCCAUGCCGCGUGCAGGAUGAAGGCC
rnacentral:rRNA from 1 species